AACGAACGCUGGCGGCAUGCCUAACACAUGCAAGUCGAACGAACCCUUCGGGGUUAGUGGCGCACGGGUGCGUAACGCGUGGGAAUCUGCCCUUUGCUUCGGAAUAACAGUCAGAAAUGACUGCUAAUACCGGAUGAUGUCUUCGGACCAAAGAUUUAUCGGCAAGGGAUGAGCCCGCGUAGGAUUAGGUAGUUGGUGGGGUAAAGGCCUACCAAGCCGACGAUCCUUAGCUGGUCUGAGAGGAUGAUCAGCCACACUGGGACUGAGACACGGCCCAGACUCCUACGGGAGGCAGCAGUGGGGAAUAUUGGACAAUGGGCGCAAGCCUGAUCCAGCAAUGCCGCGUGAGUGAUGAGGGCCUUCGGGUCGUAAAGCUCUUUUACCAGGGAUGAUAAUGACAGUACCUGGAGAAUAAGCUCCGGCUAACUCCGUGCCAGCCGCCGCCGUAA
rnacentral:rRNA from 1 species